GAUGAACGCUGGCGGCGUGCCUAAUACAUGCAAGUCGAGCGAACGGACGAGAAGCUUGCUUCUCUGAUGUUAGCGGCGGACGGGUGAGUAACACGUGGAUAACCUACCUAUAAGACUGGGAUAACUUCGGGAAACCGGAGCUAAUACCGGAUAAUAUUUUGAACCGCAUGGUUCAAAAGUGAAAGACGGUCUUGCUGUCACUUAUAGAUGGAUCCGCGCUGCAUUAGCUAGUUGGUAAGGUAACGGCCUACCAAGGCAACGAUGCAUAGCCGACCUGAGAGGGUGAUCGGCCACACUGGAACUGAGACACGGUCCAGACUCCUACGGGAGGCAGCAGUAGGGAAUCUUCCGCAAUGGGCGAAAGCCUGACGGAGCAACGCCGCGUGAGUGAUGAAGGUCUUCGGAUCGUAAAACUCUGUUAUUAGGGAAGAACAUAUGUGUAAGUAACUAUGCACGUCUUGACGGUACCUAAUCAGAAAGCCACGGCUAACUACGUG
rnacentral:rRNA from 1 species